AUUGAACGCUGGCGGCAGGCCUAACACAUGCAAGUCGCACGAGUGGCGGACGGGUGCGUAAUGUCUGGGAAACUGCCCGAUGGAGGGGGAUAACUACUGGAAACGGUAGCUAAUACCGCAUACCAUCGGAUGUGCCCAGAUGGGAUUAGCUAGUAGGUGGGGUAACGGCUCACCGAGGCCACAAUCCCGAGCUGGUCUGCGAGGAUGACAAGCCAAACUGGAACUGAGUACCGGUCCAGACUCCUACGGGAGGCAGCAGUGGGGAAUAUUGCACAAUGGGCGCAAGCCUGAUGCAGCCAUGCCGCGUGUAUGAAGAAGGCCUUCGGGUUGUAAAGUACUUUCAGCGAGGAGGCGUUACUCGCAGAAGAAGCACCGGCUAACUCCGUGCCAGCAGCCGCGGUAAUAC
rnacentral:rRNA from 1 species